GUAAAGCAGAAAUAGUAGCCAAAUUGGCUGCACUAUGUGUAAAAGAUGCAUUAUCCAUGAUAGAAGCUACGGGAGGUCAGAAACUGAUUAUCAGUUAAAUGGAACAAAAAAAAAAGAGGUUUAAAACUUGAACUGUGCCUUUCCUGCUCAAAAGAGAAUAGCAGAGGUCCUGUAAGAUGUUCUCCAUUCCUCCUUUGCUUAUUACCAGGCGAUGACUAAUAAUCACUCUAUGAAAAGUACCAUGGGGAAUAAGUUAUGACUUGUUCACUCAACAAGAUGAAAGACCCUCCCUCCUGAAAAACAGGUAUCACAUAACCAGUUGUCUUUGUUGUAAAUAUGAGAACCAUUCCAAGAACUUUGCCUUUAACAAGAAAGAUGCUCUUCAUGAGGGAGCAAGAGUACCGCGAAAGUCAACUCAGGGCGCUCUGGUUUCUUCUGUAACUCUCACUACCUCACCCUCACCACCACUGUACUAUUUAGAAAUUUUGAAAGAAAUACCAGACAUUGUGUCAUCUCACCUCUGUGUGUGUGUGUGUG
rnacentral:lncRNA from 1 species